rnacentral:rRNA from 1 species
GCAUAUCAAUAAGCGGAGGAAAAGAAACCAACAGGGAUUGCCUUAGUAACGGCGAGUGAAGCGGCAACAGCUCAAAUUUGAAAUCUGGCUCUUUCAGAGUCCGAGUUGUAAUUUGCAGAGGGCGCUUUGGCUUUGGCAGCGGUCCAAGUUCCUUGGAACAGGACGUCACAGAGGGUGAGAAUCCCGUACGUGGUCGCUAGCUAUUGCCGUGUAAAGCCCCUUCGACGAGUCGAGUUGUUUGGGAAUGCAGCUCUAAAUGGGAGGUAAAUUUCUUCUAAAGCUAAAUAUUGGCCAGAGACCGAUAGCGCACAAGUAGAGUGAUCGAAAGAUGAAAAGCACUUUGGAAAGAGAGUCAAACAGCACGUGAAAUUGUUGAAAGGGAAGCGCUUGCAGCCAGACUUGCUUGCAGUUGCUCAUCCGGGCUUUUGCCCGGUGCACUCUUCUGCAGGCAGGCCAGCAUCAGUUUGGGCGGUGGGAUAAAGGUCUCUGACACGUUCCUUCCUUCGGGUUGGCCAUAUAGGGGAGACGUCAUACCACCAGCCUGGACUGAGGUCCGCGCAUCUGCUAGGAUGCUGGCGUAAUGGCUGUAAGCGGCCCGUCUUGAAACACGGACC